GACGUAGGGCGCAAGCGUUGUCCGGAAUUAUUGGGCGUAAAGAGCUCGUAGGCGGCUUGUCGCGUCGACUGUGAAAACCCGUGGCUCAACCAUGUGGUCUGCAGUCGAUACGGGCAGGCUAGAAUUCGGUAGGGGAGACUGGAAUUCCUGGUGUAGCGGUGAAAUGCGCAGAUAUCAGGAGGAACACCGGUGGCGAAGGCGGGUCUCUGGGCCGAUACUGACGCUGAGGAGCGAAAGCGUGGGGAGCGAACAGG
rnacentral:rRNA from 1 species